UACGAAGGGUGCAAGCGUUAAUCGGAAUUACUGGGCGUAAAGGGUGCGUAGGCGGCCCGUUAAGUCAGCGGUGAAAUCCCACGGCUCAACCGUGGAACUGCCGUUGAUACUGGCGGGCUUGAGUUCGGUCGAGGCGGGCGGAACUGGUGGUGUAGCGGUGAAAUGCAUAGAUACCACCAAGAACCCCGAUUGCGUAGGCAGCUCGCUGGGCCGAAACUGACGCUGAGGCACGAAAGCGUGGGGAGCGAACAGG
rnacentral:rRNA from 1 species